CAGGCUUAACACAUGCAAGUCGAGGGGCAGCAUGGUCUUAGCUUGCUAAGGCCGAUGGCGACCGGCGCACGGGUGAGUAACACGUAUCCAACCUGCCGUCUACUCUUGGACAGCCUUCUGAAAGGAAGAUUAAUACAAGAUGGCAUCAUGAGUCCGCAUGUUCACAUGAUUAAAGGUAUUCCGGUAGACGAUGGGGAUGCGUUCCAUUAGAUAGUAGGCGGGGUAACGGCCCACCUAGUCUUCGAUGGAUAGGGGUUCUGAGAGGAAGGUCCCCCACAUUGGAACUGAGACACGGUCCAAACUCCUACGGGAGGCAGCAGUGAGGAAUAUUGGUCAAUGGGCGAGAGCCUGAACCAGCCAAGUAGCGUGAAGGAUGACUGCCCUAUGGGUUGUAAACUUCUUUUAUAAAGGAAUAAAGUCGGGUAUGCAUACCCGUUUGCAUGUACUUUAUGAAUAAGGAUCGGCUAACUCCGUGCCAGCAGCCGCGGUAAUACGGAGGAUCCGAGCGUUAUCCGGAUUUAUUGGGUUUAAAGGGAGCGUAGAUGGAUGUUUAAGUCAGUUGUGAAAGUUUGCGGCUCAACCGUAAAAUUGCAGUUGAUACUGGAUAUCUUGAGUGCAGUUGAGGCAGGCGGAAUUCGUGGUGUAGCGGUGAAAUGCUUAGAUAUCACGAAGAACUCCGAUUGCGAAGGCAGCCUGCUAAGCUGCAACUGACAUUGAGGCUCGAAAGUGUGGGUAUCAAACAGGAUUAGAUACCCUGGUAGUCCACACGGUAAACGAUGAAUACUCGCUGUUUGCGAUAUACGGCAAGCGGCCAAGCGAAAGCGUUAAGUAUUCCACCUGGGGAGUACGCCGGCAACGGUGAAACUCAAAGGAAUUGACGGGGGCCCGCACAAGCGGAGGAACAUGUGGUUUAAUUCGAUGAUACGCGAGGAACCUUACCCGGGCUUAAAUUGCAGAUGAAUUACGGUGAAAGCCGUAAGCCGCAAGGCAUCUGUGAAGGUGCUGCAUGGUUGUCGUCAGCUCGUGCCGUGAGGUGUCGGCUUAAGUGCCAUAACGAGCGCAACCCUUGUUGUCAGUUACUAACAGGUCAUGCUGAGGACUCUGACAAGACUGCCAUCGUAAGAUGUGAGGAAGGUGGGGAUGACGUCAAAUCAGCACGGCCCUUACGUCCGGGGCUACACACGUGUUACAAUGGGGGGGUACAGAGGGCCGCUACCACGCGAGUGGAUGCCAAUCCCCAAAACCUCUCUCAGUUCGGACCGGAGUCUGCAACCCGACUCCACGAAGCUGGAUUCGCUAGUAAUCGCGCAUCAGCCACGGCGCGGUGAAUACGUUCCCGGGCCUUGUACACACCGCCCGUCAAGCCAUGGGAGCCGGGGGUACCUGAAGUGCGUAACCGCGAGGAGCGCCCUAAGGUAAAACCGGUGACUGGGGCUAAGUCG
rnacentral:rRNA from 1 species